UACGAAGGGGGCUAGCGUUGCUCGGAAUCACUGGGCGUAAAGGGUGCGUAGGCGGCUCAUGAAGGCUGUGGUGAAAGUCCGGGGCUCAACCUCGGAUCGGCCGUGGCGACUCGUGGGCUGGAGCACUGUAGAGGCGGGUGGAAUUCCGGGUGUAGCGGUGGAAUGCGUAGAGAUCCGGAAGAACACCAGUGGCGAAGGCGGCCCGCUGGGCAGUGGCUGACGCUGAGGCGCGACAGCGUGGGGGAGCAAACAGG
rnacentral:rRNA from 1 species